GAGUUUGAUCCUGGCUCAGGACAAACGCUGGUGGCGUGCCUAAUACAUGCAAGUCGAACGAGAAAGUCCCUUCGGGGGCGAGUAAAGUGGCGCACGGGUGAGUAACGCGUGGAUAACGUGCCCUCGAGUGGGGGAUAACUGAUCGAAAGAUCAGCUAAUACCGCAUAAGACCACAGUGUCUUCGGACACAGGGGUUAAAGAUUUAUCGCUUGAGGAUCGGUCCGCGUCUGAUUAGCUUGUUGGUGAGGUAAAAGCUCACCAAGGCGACAAUCGGUAGCUGGUUUGAGAGGAUGACCAGCCACAUUGGGACUGAGACACGGCCCAAACUCCUACGGGAGGCAGCAGUAGGGAAUUUUGGGCAAUGGGCGAAAGCCUGACCCAGCGACGUCGCGUGGGGGACGAAGGCCUUCGGGUUGUAAACCCCUUUUCUGGGGGAAGAGAUAGGACGGUACCUCAGGAAUAAGCAUCGGCUAACUACGUGCCAGCAGCCGCGGUAAUACGUAGGAUGCAAGCGUUGUCCGGAUUUACUGGGCGUAAAGGGUGUGUAGGCGGCAUGGCAAGUCUCAUGUGAAAUCUCCCGGCUUAACUGGGAGGGGUCAUGGGAAACUGCCAAGCUGGAGGGCAGCAGAGGA
rnacentral:rRNA from 1 species